UGAAAUAUUUCGUGAUGUAUUCCCCGCACCAUCUUCUCUGCUCUCCCCCACCCCAUCUCCCUGGUUACUCAAUUUCUCAACUCUGUUUGAUACUGCAUCUCUCAGUCGACUAGUCGGCACAUGAUUACAGGUGAUAGGUGCACAAUAAUCAUCAAUCGUGGAAGAGGCAUAAUUCAAGGGAGCUUGUACUUGCAUUAGAAGUUGCUACAAAGUGUUAUUAAGCUAAGGAGACGGCAAGCAAAUUAUGGUGACAUGUUUAAUAUGCAUCAAGCAAGCACACUGCUCUAUGGUGGAAGAAACUUAAUUCACUAGAGGUUGCACUUGCAUUGUGAGUUGCUACUGCGUGGUAUUUUGCUAGGAAGGCAGCAAUCAAAAUAUGGUCAUUUCCGGCGGACACGGGUAUUAGGCCAAAAUCGAAGAGUCCAUGUAACAAAGGUUGCGACCCUGGUGAAGGGGAUGGUAAAGAGAGUUAGACUGCGCCUGCUUCAUACAUUAAGUUUAAUGCAGAUGCAUCAUUGUUAAAUGAGGGGCAGUUUAGUAUUGGCUAUAUGGUUAGGGAUGAGAUUGAUAGUUUGGUGGAAGCACUGGCGUGAUGCCAAGCUGGGAAAGUGGCUGAGGUGAUGUGCACUAAGGAACAAUGGUCAAUAUGGACUUGUUGGUGGUGGAAGCAAAUUGUAGUUCUCUUCAUAUGUGUGUAGCUUUUGGAUUGAUUAUUGUAAACAUUGUAUGAGUUUUUAUAUAUUUUUUUUCUGUGAAAAAUAUGCAAAUCGAGCUGCGCAUCUGUAAAUCUAUAAAUUUAGAAAGGUUAAUAAUUUAUAAACUUAUAGAGGAUUUAGUUUGUAUGAAUUAUAAUAUCGCUGGUUCAAGCUACACCAUGUCUUUGAAGCAUUUGGCAGGCUACAGGAAAGAAUGAAUGUUGACAUGGGCUUUGCCUCUUCUGCCCCAACCAGAGAACCGGAGUUGCACUCAAUUCCUCGUGACGAUUGUUGCUUCGUUCUUGGGCAUCUAUCUUCCCUUCUCAUGGUACCCUUGUCAUCCCAGACAACCAGUCCGCCAUUGAGAGAGAGGUGGCCUAGUCCGUGCUGGUUACACAUGCAUUCAUGGAUGUCUUCUGUCACAAGUCCUGUAGUUUUUUUAAUUGUGUUUUGUAUCUUUUUUUGAGUUUCCUUUUAGUUUCAUAUAUCUGUAUCACAUAAAAAGUAAAUAUAGGGAGAUGCCCAUUUAUUUGCACUAUAAAGUGUUUGGUGAAUUGGCCAUAUUAUGUCCGGGAGCUAGUGAGUUUUGAACCCGGGAGUUAGUGAGGUUUGAACCCGCUGGGAUAUUAGUUUUCAUUUUGUCAAUUGCCGCUUUGUUUUUUCUAUUCCACCUUCCAUACUCUCAAGUCUCAUCUUGUAUUUCCCUGACACCCUCCUGAAUUUCCUCCUAAUUUUGAGUAUAUCAAUGGCCAAUAAUUUCCCUUAUUUCAGCCUAGCAAAAUUAUAUAAACCCUAAACCACAAAGUGAUCGCCAUUCACCUCUCUUCUCAAACCAAAUAUCUGAAAUACACAUUGGGUUUCAGAGGAUCCUCAAUCCACAACCUCUCUUUCUCAUCAUCACAUACCAAGGAGAACGGGAGAUUAAUUAAAACUUUGAAUUCUUCAAAGUAAUUAAUCUCUUAUAACCAUCAUAAUGGCAGUGUUUAAGAAAGGCAUGCAAGCUAAACCUUGGAUGGAGGUAGCGCCUUCGCGUAUAAUCUCGCCGCAGAAACCCUCUUGUACGCCUAAAUUGGCAACAAUCAGGGAGGAGAGAAACGAGGAUUAUGAAGAUGGUAAUGAUCAAGAUUAAGUAUUAAAAUUGUUUUAUUACUUGCUCAUUGAUUAACCUGGAGCUUUUCAUGGCUCCCUGUCUAUGUAUGUCUUCGUCUGUGAACCACGGCUCGAUUUUUAGGUGAUAUGGUUACAUUAUGUAUACAAUGACCUACAUGAUAUGAGGUGUAUAUUGUAGUUCGUUCAUCUCUGUAAUAUGUAAUGUAAAUACCAUUAUUUAUUCUUCAA